AUAACUGCAGUGUCUCUGGGAGUCGAUUCCUGUCUUCGAGUCAAUUUCAGCACUUGAGGAAUCGAGGAAUCGACUCUUUGGAGUCGACUCCCUAAUACAUAAACAACGGCUUUCGAUCUGCCUGUCAACAAAACUGCUCAUGCGGCUACUUUCUCGCUGCUUUCGCCAAUUUCAGGCAGCUGAAAGACAACGGGACGAUAGACAAAGAAGAGCUGCAACAAGUUCUGCAUUUGUGCAUUACUCACAGAAUUUGUCAAUGCAGAAAUGUGGCUUCCAAUGGCCAUCCUAUCACGAUGUAUCACCUGCCACACCUUUUUGGAGCAAGAGAUUACCUAAAGCCAGUUUCUCAGGAGGCUAUAGAACCCUGUCAAGAGGAAUAUCUUCUGAGAGGGCCAUACUCAUGUGAUGAGAUCCACAAACAACACCUGAUGAAGCUUGAUGUUUUUGAGGAGCUGUAUGGUUUCAAUUCUGUAAGCAACAAUUGUAACAACAUACAUCACUUGAAAUAUAUACAUUUUAUUAUU